rnacentral:rRNA from 1 species
UACGUAGGGUGCGAGCGUUGUCCGGAAUUACUGGGCGUAAAGAGCUCGUAGGUGGUUUGUCGCGUUGUUCGUGAAAACUCACAGCUUAACUGUGGGCGUGCGGGCGAUACGGGCAGACUGGAGUACUGCAGGGGAGACUGGAAUUCCUGGUGUAGCGGUGAAAUGCGCAGAUAUCAGGAGGAACACCGGUGGCGAAGGCGGUUCUCUGGGCCUUACCUGACGCUGAGGAGCGAAAGCAUGGGGAGCAAACAGG